UCUUAUCCAGAGCGGUGGAGGGAACGGCCCGACGAAGCCCGGCAACCGACUGGGAUCCAGUCCCGUACGGUGCCAACUCCGACCCCUGCCCGAGGCGGGGGGAAGAUGAGA
rnacentral:ncRNA from 1 species